CGUCACAGAUGACAGAAAAACAACGCCGUAACGUCUCUAAUAGAUCUGUGACGUCACAGAUGAUAUAAACAACGCCGUAACUUCUGUCACAGGUCCGUGACGUCACAGAUGAUAGAAACAACGCCGUAAUUUCUGUCACAGGUCCGUGACGUCACAGAUGAUAGAAACAAAGCCGUAAUUUCUGUCACAGGUCCGUGACGUCACAGAUGGUCGAAACAACGCCGUAAUUUCUGUCACAGGUCCGUGACGUCACAGAUGACAGAAAAACAACGCCGUAACGUCUCUAAUAGAUCUGUGACGUCACAGAUGAUAGAAACAACGCCGUAAUUUCUGUCACAGGUCCGUGACGUCACAGAUGGUCGAAACAACGCCGUAAUUUCUGUCACAGGUCCGUGACGUCACAGAUGACAGAAAAACAACGCCGUAACGUCUCUAAUAGAUCUGUGACGUCACAGAUGAUAGAAACAACGCCGUAAUUUCUGUCACAGGUCCGUGACGUCACAGAUGAUAGAAACAACGCCGUAACUUCUGUCACAGGUCCGUGACGUCACAGAUGAUAGAAACAAGGCCGUAACGUCUCUCAGAGAUCUGUGACGUCACAGAUGAUAGAAAAACAACGCCGUAACUCCUGUCACAGGUCCGUGACGUCACAGAUGAUAGAAACAACGCCGUAAUUUCUGUCACAGGUCCGUGACGUCACAGAUGGUCGAAACAACGCCGUAAUUUCUGUCACAGGUCCGUGACGUCACAGAUGAUAGAAACAACGCCGUAAUUUCUGUCACAGGUCCGUGACGUCACAGAUGAUAGAAACAAAGCCGUAAUUUCUGUCACAGGUCCGUGACGUCACAAAUGGUCGAAACAACGCCGU